UACCGAGAGUGCAAACGUUGUUCGGAAUUACUGGGCUUGAAGCGCACGUAGGCGGCGUUGUAAGUGUCGGGUGAAAUCCCACGGCUCACCCGUGGAACUGCCCGGCAUACUGCGAUGCUAGAGUGUGGUAGGGGAGAGCGGAACUCCUGGUGGAGCGGUGAAAUGCGUAGAUAUCAGGAGGAACACCGGUGGCGAAGGCGGCUCUCUGGUCCACAACUGACGCUGAGGUGCGAAAGCUAGGGGAGCAAACGGG
rnacentral:rRNA from 1 species